rnacentral:rRNA from 1 species
AUUGAACGCUGGCGGCAUGCCUUACACAUGCAAGUCGAACGGCAGCGCGGACUUCGGUCUGGCGGCGAGUGGCGAACGGGUGAGUAAUACAUCGGAACGUACCCUGUUGUGGGGGAUAACUAGUCGAAAGAUUAGCUAAUACCGCAUACGACCUGAGGGUGAAAGUGGGGGAUCGCAAGGCCUCACGCAGCAGGAGCGGCCGAUGUCUGAUUAGCUAGUUGGUGGGGUAAAGGCCCACCAAGGCGACGAUCAGUAGCUGGUCUGAGAGGACGAUCAGCCACACUGGGACUGAGACACGGCCCAGACUCCUACGGGAGGCAGCAGUGGGGAAUUUUGGACAAUGGGGGCAACCCUGAUCCAGCAAUGCCGCGUGCGUGAAGAAGGCCUUCGGGUUGUAAAGCACUUUUGUCCGGAAAGAAAUCGCGCUGGUUAAUACCUGGCGUGGAUGACGGUACCGGAAGAAUAAGCACCGGCUAACUACGUG